rfam:Ictidomys tridecemlineatus contig052716, whole genome shotgun sequence.
UGUGGCUCAGUGGCAGGGCACUUGCCUAGCAUGCAUGAGGCCCUGGGUUUAAUCCCCAACA